rnacentral:rRNA from 1 species
AGUGAACGCUGGCGGUAGGCCUAACACAUGCAAGUCGAACGGUAGAACAGUAAGAGCUAGCUCUUACGGGCGCCGAGGGGCGGACCGGUGAGGCAUACUACGGAAUCUACGUUUACGUGGGGGCGAACGUAGGAAAAAUUCCGCUAAUAAUGCUUACGACCUACGGGUGAUAUCAGAAGCUCUUCGGACUUUGCGCGAUCGCACGCGACGUUAUCGGAUUAGCUAGUUAGCGGGGUAACGGCCCACCAAGGCGAAGAGCCGUAGAUGGUCUGAGAGGAGGAUCAGCCACACUGGAACUGAGACACGGUCCAGACUCCUACGGGAGGCAGCAGUGGGGAAUAUUGUACAAUGGGCGCAAGCCGGAUCUAGCCAUACCGCGUGGGUGGAGAAGACCUUCGGGUUGUAAAGCCCUUUUGUUGUGAAAGAAAGACAGCAGGUUAAUACCCCGCUGUCCUGACGGUACCCAAAGAAUAAGCACCGGCUAACUUCGUG